GCUUGGUGCUUGCACCGAGCGGAUGAGUUGCGAACGGGUGAGUAACGCGUAGGUAACCUGCCUCUUAGCGGGGGAUAACUAUUGGAAACGAUAGCUAAUACCGCAUAAAAGUCGACAUUGCAUGAUGUUGAUUUGAAAGGUGCAAUUGCAUCACUAAGAGAUGGACCUGCGUUGUAUUAGCUAGUUGGUGAGGUAACGGCUCACCAAGGCGACGAUACAUAGCCGACCUGAGAGGGUGAUCGGCCACACUGGGACUGAGACACGGCCCAGACUCCUACGGGAGGCAGCAGUAGGGAAUCUUCGGCAAUGGGGGCAACCCUGACCGAGCAACGCCGCGUGAGUGAAGAAGGUUUUCGGAUCGUAAAGCUCUGUUGUAAGAGAAGAACGAGUGUGAGAGUGGAAAGUUCACACUGUGACGGUAACUUACCAGAAAGGGACGGCUAACUACGUGCCAGCAGCCGCGGUAAUACGUAGGUCCCGAGCGUUAUCCGGAUUUAUUGGGCGUAAAGCGAGCGCAGGCGGUUAGAUAAGUCUGAAGUUAAAGGCUGUGGCUUAACCAUAGUACGCUUUGGAAACUGUUUAACUUGAGUGCAGAAGGGGAGAGUGGAAUUCCAUGUGUAGCGGUGAAAUGCGUAGAUAUAUGGAGGAACACCGGUGGCGAAAGCGGCUCUCUGGUCUGUAACUGACGCUGAGGCCUCGAAGCGUGGGGAGCAAACAGGAUAGAUACCCUGGUAGUC
rnacentral:rRNA from 1 species